rnacentral:rRNA from 1 species
CGGCCGUGUCGACCCCAGUGGAGACCGCCGGGGUCAACUCGGAGGAAGGUGGGGAUGACGUCAAGUCAUCAUGCCCCUUAUGUCCAGGGCUUCACGCAUGCUACAAUGGCUGGUACAGAGAGUGGUGAGCCUGUGAGGGUGAGCGAAUCUCGGAAAGCCGGUCUCAGUUCGGAUUGGGGUCUGCAACUCGACUCCAUGAAGUGGAUCGCUAGUAAUCGCGAUCACGAAGUCGACCGCGUGACGUACGUACCGGUCGUACCGGGCGUCGACGUCGUCGGGACCGGUCAAAGGUCAACUCCAAGGGUAUACCCGGUUAUGUCCGAGGCUCACGCAUGCUACAAUGGCUGGUACAGAGAGUGGCGAGGCUGUGAGGGUGAGCGAAUCGUCGGAAAGCCGGUCUCGAGUUCGGAUUGGGGUCUGCAACUCGACUCAUGAAGUGGAAUCGCUAGUAUCGCGAUCAGAUCGCCGNGUAGACUACGGUUCCGGUCGCGGCGCGAGUCGCGGAGCAGCACAGAGGGAC